UACGUAGGGUGCGAGCGUUGUCCGGAAUUAUUGGGCGUAAAGAGCUCGUAGGCGGUCUGUCGCGUCGGUCGUGAAAACUUGGGGCUUAACCCUGAGCUUGCGGUCGAUACGGGCAUGACUGGAGUUCGGCAGGGGAGACUGGAAUUCCUGGUGUAGCGGUGAAAUGCGCAGAUAUCAGGAGGAACACCGGUGGCGAAGGCGGGUCUCUGGGCAACAACUGACGCUGAGGAGCGAAAGCGUGGGGAGCGAACAGG
rnacentral:rRNA from 1 species